GCCUGACUGGCUCAGUGGGUAGAGCGCGCGACUCUUGAUCUUGGGAUUGUGGGUUCAACCUCCACAUCGAGUG
rnacentral:tRNA from 1 species